UUCGAGGGGAAUCUAGCGGUGAUCUCGAAAACGCGAGGGGAGGCUUCGUUGAGUGGGGAAGCAUUUGGAGACCGUUCGGAGAGGAAAAGAUCCGGUACCGUGAGUUGGAGCACGCGUGAUCGGCUUUCAGGUCCGAGCACUAGUAGCCAGCGUUGAUCGAGCUUGGAGUAGACUUAUCUGGAGACGGGGGGAUGGCUCGCACGCGUGGUAGGGCCCCAGCUAGGGGUAGAGGCCGACCUCGAGGUCGUGCCAGAGCUACAGCACCAGCCCAGGACCGAGAGCAAACUCCAGAGCCGGUGAUAGAGCCACCAGCAGCUCCAGCACCGCAGCAGCCGAUGGGUCCGGGAUCAGCCCAGCCACCGCC